CUGACGUUAGCGGCGGACGGGUGAGUAACACGUGGGUAACCUACCUAUAAGACUGGGAUAACUCCGGGAAACCGGGGCUAAUACCGGAUAACACAUGAAACCGCAUGGUUUCAUGAUGAAAGACGGUUUUGCUGUCACUUAUAGAUGGACCCGCGGCGUAUUAGCUAGUUGGUAAGGUAACGGCUUACCAAGGCAACGAUACGUAGCCGACCUGAGAGGGUGAUCGGCCACACUGGAACUGAGACACGGUCCAGACUCCUACGGGAGGCAGCAGC
rnacentral:rRNA from 1 species